rnacentral:rRNA from 1 species
AGCGGAGGAAAGAACCAACAGGGAUUGCCUCAGUAGCGGCGAGUGAAGCGGCAAGAGCUCAGAUUUGAAAUCGUGCUUUGCGGCACGAGUUGUAGAUUGCAGGUUGGAGUCUGUGUGGAAGGCGGUGUCCAAGUCCCUUGGAACAGGGCGCCCAGGAGGGUGAGAGCCCCGUGGGAUGCCGGCGGAAGCAGUGAGGCCCUUCUGACGAGUCGAGUUGUUUGGGAAUGCAGCUCCAAGCGGGUGGUAAAUUCCAUCUAAGGCUAAAUACUGGCGAGAGACCGAUAGCGAACAAGUACUGUGAAGGAAAGAUGAAAAGCACUUUGAAAAGAGAGUGAAACAGCACGUGAAAUUGUUGAAAGGGAAGGGUAUUGCGCCCGACAUGGGGAUUGCGCACCGCUGCCUCUCGUGGGCGGCGCUCUGGGCUUUCCCUGGGCCAGCAUCGGUUCUUGCUGCAGGAGAAGGGGUUCUGGAACGUGGCUCUUCGGAGUGUUAUAGCCAGGGCCAGAUGCUGCGUGCGGGGACCGAGGACUGCGGCCGUGUAGGUCACGGAUGCUGGCAGAACGGCGCAACACCGCCCGUCUUGAAACACGGACCUCCUGUGUGAAGGGGAUCCGCUA